UUCCAGACUCCUACGGGAGGCAGCAGUGGGGAAUAUUGCACAAUGGGGGAAACCCUGAUGCAGCGACGCCGCGUGAGUGAAGAAGUAUUUCGGUAUGUAAAGCUCUAUCAGCAGGGAAGAAAAUGACGGUACCUGAUUAAGAAGCCCCGGCUAACUACGUGCCAGCAGCCGCGGUAAUACGUAGGGGGCAAGCGUUAUCCGGAUUUACUGGGUGUAAAGGGUGCGUAGGUGGCAUGGCAAGUCAGAAGUGAAAGCCCGGGGCUCAACCCCGCGGACUGCUUUUGAAACUGUCAGGCUGGAGUACAGGAGAGGUAAGCGGAAUUCCUAGUGUAGCGGUGAAAUGCGUAGAUAUUAGGAGGAACACCAGUGGCGAAGGCGGCUUACUGGACUGUAACUGACACUGAGGCACGAAAGCGUGGGGAGCAAACAGGAUUAGAUACCCGAGUA
rnacentral:rRNA from 1 species